UACGUAGGGUGCAAGCGUUGUCCGGAAUUAUUGGGCGUAAAGAGCUCGUAGGCGGUCUGUCGCGUCGGCUGUGAAAACCCGGGGCUCAACCCCGGGCCUGCAGUCGAUACGGGCAGACUAGAGUGCGGUAGGGGAGACUGGAAUUCCUGGUGUAGCGGUGAAAUGCGCAGAUAUCAGGAGGAACACCGGUGGCGAGGGCGGGUCUCUGGGCCGUAACUGACGCUGAGGAGCGAAAGCGUGGGGAGCGAACAGG
rnacentral:rRNA from 1 species